rnacentral:rRNA from 1 species
AUGAAAUGGUUCCACAUCUCUGAUCGUGGUGCCAUCUCCUUCCUUUCUUACAUUUCUCAGUAUCCUUCCGAUUCUCAAAAUCAACAACCUCUGAUCAUCCGCAUCAGAUUGUUGUGUGCCAGAACAGUGAUACGCGAAGAUGGUUGUGAACCACAAGCUUCCUCCUUUGAAAAUGGUUGUGCACCAGAAAAUUCAGCCUAUACAAUUGCGCCGCGAGUGACCCUGAGUGCCCCACUUGCUCCAUCUCCAUGUGAUGAUCAUCGGGUUGAGUCAUCUAUAAGACACAAAAGAUUAGAGCAUUGA